rnacentral:tRNA from 1 species
UGACGUAGCUCAACUGGUAGAGCACUGGUUUUGUAAACCAGGGGUUGCGGGUUCAAGUCCCACCGUCAGC